CCUUUAGAGUUUGGAUCCUGGCUCAGAUUGAACGCUGGCGGCAGGCCUAACACAUGCAAGUCGAACGGUAACAUUUCUAGCUUGCUAGAAGAUGACGAGUGGCGGACGGGUGAGUAAUGCUUGGGAACUUGCCUUUGCGAGGGGGAUAACAGUUGGAAACGACUGCUAAUACCGCAUAAUGUCUUCGGACCAAACGGGGCUUCGGCUCCGGCGCAAAGAGAGGCCCAAGUGAGAUUAGCUAGUUGGUAAGGUAACGGCUUACCAAGGCGACGAUCUCUAGCUGUUCUGAGAGGAAGAUCAGCCACACUGGGACUGAGACACGGCCCAGACUCCUACGGGAGGCAGCAGUGGGGAAUAUUGCACAAUGGGGGAAACCCUGAUGCAGCCAUGCCGCGUGUGUGAAGAAGGCCUUCGGGUUGUAAAGCACUUUCAGUUGUGAGGAAAAGUUAGUAGUUAAUACCCUGCUAGCCGUGACGUAACCAC
rnacentral:rRNA from 1 species